CCUUCAUCCAUCUAGAUCAUAUUGAGGCUCAUAAGCUCGUCGACUAUAGAUUUGAUUCCCACAUUCUCAUUAGUUUCACUUCAAUGUUCCAGUUUUUCUUCCAUGUUGUGAAGUCGCCACGCUUCUUGUAUGCCAUUGUUUUCUCUGCCAGAAGGCUAGAACUUUCUUAGUCAAUAUUCCUAUGAAGAAUGUAUCCAGAAUAAUAACUACGCACCUUUAUGAUUCAGGUAACUCAGAAGGAUGGUUGGGCAUGACUUUGUCGAGUGUCAAGCAAAAAAGUAAGAUUGCUAAAUAACAAUUACUAAAUCUGAUGAUUCAGGGGAAAAGUGCUUUGGCGCCACUUGUUCCGACGUCAAUUGGAGCAGUUGGUUGUGGCUUCGUCGGGCGUCGAGCAUGCUUCGACAUGACUUUGUCAGACAUCGAGCAAAGUUGCGCUGCCUGCUAUAGAAUCUUCUUUUAUUAAUGGUGUGCUUAGCCGGGCAACAGAUUUGGCUAGCUUCAAUAUUGGAUGUGUGCUGGUCAUGGCCAAGAUUUGGUUCGCUUCAAAUUUUUUUUGAGAAGCUCAAAGGUUGGGCAUGACUUCGUCCGGCGCCGGCACCAAGUUGCAUGCGAAACUUUAGUUUUUCCUGGCUUCGAUCUUUGUUGGGCAUACUAUCUACUGAGUUUGAAUUUUGUGGUUGUGUUUUGGUCGCAUAGUUCAGGCUGGCUUGUACUUUCUUGGGUGUGUGCUAGUUUGGCCGGCUAGAUGUGUUUAGUUUUCCAUGGUUGUGGGAUUCUGUGUGUUGCAUCCGAGAUCUUAUUUGCAUGCACGCAUCUGUGGAAAGACACAUAUAUUUCCUUGGCUUGUGAUUGUCUUAAACACGUGUCCAGUCUAUUUGGACAUGACACAAAGCACAACAUGUAUUUCUUAUUGCAAUCCUGGUCUCAUGUCAAUGCACGCCUUUCUUUUUUCCACGUACGUUAUGCUUCUAUUAUGAUGUAACGUGACAACAUGAAAGUUCAAUAUUGUUGGUACAUAUAUUUUUACAUGUUACGUAAGAACCUUUAAAUCUCAACUAUUGUUAUUCUAAUCAAAUGGUGUAAAAAAUAUUAGCAUAUGUGGACGAACCUCGUUUGACU
rnacentral:lncRNA from 1 species